UUACCAACCCACUACACAUAAAUCCCCUAGAAAUCAGGAAUCACUGCACUCCUCAUUUCCUUGUCAUGAAUUACGCUUCUGUUGUCAAAUCUGGAAUCAACUGACAGUGAGAGAGGAAAAACAGGUAAAUAUUAGUAACACAUAUUGCUGGGUGCUUUGUACCCGUUGAUGGGGGGGGGGGGGGUUUCAGGUUCUAAGCAGGAAAAAGUGCGGGAUAUAUUCUUCCUCAAGUAUGUAUUCAACGUUCACAAGGUAUUGUUAGGGCACAAAUUCCGUUAGAAUUGCCUAUGCUGUACCAUUCGUAUUUAGCCAUCAAAGCUGAUCUGAGCUUUGUGAGAUUAAUUUUUUUCCUUUUUUUGGAUUUCACGCACUACGAACUAGAAUGUAAAUGUAAGGCUAAGGCCACAAAAAAGAAAUACCCCCAAGGAUUUUGGUACGUUUUCCUGUUCCCCUCCCCUCCGGGCCCCAAAGUCUCCUCCACCCCCGCUCCUCCCUUCCCCUAAGCCGAGCAACUUUCCUCUUCCCCCUCCAGGGCUAUCGCGUCGCUCAAACUUUGUUAUUGCAGUGUUUUUAGGUUAAAUGGUGUGUUUUGUGUGCUUGAGACCUCGUAGAUAGUCAAAAUGUAAAAUACAAUUUUGUUAUUAUGCUUGCUUAGUUCUAAUGGCUGUUUAUAAAUUUGCUGAAAAGUGUUUUAAGAUAGUGGUCAAUAAUAGUUUCUACGUAUAUUUCGUAUUUUGUGUUCUGUGCCAUGCAUUCUCAACUUGUGUGCAAGUACCCACUCUCAGUGGAUUGUGUAUCAGAGAUAAUACUUCUUGUUCACAUCAGUUCGAUGUUUCCAAUGCACUGGAAGAAGAUCUAUGCUUCAUGAGAUACUUCCCAAGCACUGAUUGCAAUGAUCUUGUAACUGAAGGGGACUUCCUCGGGCACGCAACAGAGAUGCGCCUAUCGACGUAUCUCUAUGUAGAGGGCUACACAAGAAUAACUGCCUUUAAUAUCUCUUUUCAAGAAAUGAAGUGGAAUCGUUUGAAAAUGUGGUUUAAACCUAUUUCAAAUGAAUCGAAUGCAUCAAUGUGCCGUGAAUUUAGCUUGUCAAAGAAAGUGGAGUUGAAUAAUACAUUAUUUUUUGACUGCCUAUGGUCCAUGGAACGAUACGAGGGCACCUCUUAUCAAUUUCGCUAUGCUGCCUUCCUAGAUGAAGCCUCUGAUUUCCCUUUUGCUGCUAAAUAUGUUUUCCAAGUACCCUUAGCUGAAAGAAUUGAUUUCGAGCGAACGAAUGCCACAGAAUGGGAAGUCUUCAUGUACCUUGAUAUCAGUGCUCUUCCUCUUGUGACGUUACAUGUUCAAGAAGCACCCAGUCAUUUAAAAAUCAAGAGCUACAUCAUUGACGUGCAUCGCAAUUGGGGUAGCAGUUCAUGGACUGCUUCGUCUUUCACCAUUCCUGCCACGGAUGUAAAGAACGGUGAAAUUGUCCUCCAGUAUAAUGCUCGUUACAAACCUGGCAUCUAUCACUUCACUGUUUCAUUGAAUCAUGGUCGGUGUGGGGAACACCUCAAAAAGUGCUUUGUAUCGACAUCUCCGAAAUUUUUUGUCGUUUCAUCAAACCCUAAUCCACCCCUUCUGAUUGCUAUUGUUGGAGUUGUGGUCCUAAUUCCAAUUCUAGUCACCAUAUUUUUACUCUGGAGAAAACAAAUCCAUCCUGAAGUUCUUGAGAAAGCGCCUCCACGAAUGCUUAUAGUUUACAAUGGGAACUAUGCAGGCCAUGUUCGAGUUAUCAAAGAAUUCGCACGUUAUUUGAAUGAUGUGUGUGGCAUCGAUGCACUUUUAGAUUAUUACUGUGUACCUGAGUCUUCAUCUAAGGAUCCUGCAAAGUGGUAUGCUGAAACAUUCAAUACAGUGGACUACGUAGCUGUAUUUGCCUCCCCACCACAGUCUUACGCUCAGUGUGUUCAAAAAUAUGUCAGCCUCUAUCCCGAUAUGGAAGCUGUAGCCUUAAAUUUGCUCAGACGCCGGCUGGCCCAGAUUCCAUGCCUUACCCGAUUCCUCUCAGUGGUUUUGCCAUAUUGUUUACCCUCUACUUUAGGAGCAGAAGCUAAAGAUUUUACCAGGUUCAUGCUAUUUUCUGACCUAGAUAAAAUGUUAACAUAUAUUCGCGAAAACCGUAUACCAAUUUUCCCUCUUAAAGUGGAAGGAGGAGUGAACGAUCUCGAAACAAAAGGAGCUCAAUUAUUAGAAACUGUAAAAAGUGUUCAAAAGGAGUUAGAAAAUUGUGAAAUACUGAAACGAAAUGGAAGUAAAUUCGAACGUAGGAAAAGUGAUGGCAGUAAAGCAACAAAGAAUGAUUUCAGUGAAAUCGUCCAUGAAAUGGACCGAAGCAAGUGCACAAGUAGUAUUGAUAGUUCGCCGGAGGACAAUGAUUUCACUAUUUGUAAAGAUGACGAUAGUACUCUGAGAUCAAGAAAACUGACUCUUUGUUCAGAGCUCGAUUUUUCUCCAACACUGGAGAAUUUGGAUUUACUCCAAAAUGGCACAUCUCCCGUAAAAGAUGAUGCUGAUAAUGAUAUUCACCACUCUAGAAGUAAUUCAGAUUUAAAUAUAGAGCAUUUAAAUUUAUUAGGUUAAUCCUCUACCGUACGGAAAGGGCAUCAAAUGCUGAGCCAAGCGCUACCUCCAGUGGUGUGACAAGCAUCAUGUUACAGAAUCUUGUUUCAAUGCUGCACGAUGUAUGCUUGAAUCGUGAAAAAAUCAUGUCUGUUUUAAGGAAGAUUCGACUUUGAAUUGUUGGGAUGAGUUCUAUUGCUCUGUAUCAUGAUGUACGUCAACCAAACUUAAAGGAAAUAGUAUGUAGGACUUUAGCCUCCUGGCUAGAUUAGGUACGACAUAACAUUCGCCAGUAGCGCUAUCUUUUUGCCCCUUGAGGAUGUUAUCUGUGCAUGUAUUGCACAUUGACAUGCAUUUUGUCAGAUCUGUGAUAUACUUUUUGAUUUUACAGUUGGUUUGGGUGUUUUUUUAAUAAGUCCUUAAGUCAUGAUUCCCAAGAUAAAAUGAAAACGCACCGUUAUCUAAUAACAAACAAGAUCCAAAUGCAACCAUAAACCAAAGUGAGAAAACAAAAUAUGAGAUUUACAAGUCUCUCCUUGCAUUCAUUAUUAAAGCACUUUAAUCUUGAUGUAAUUUUAAGAGCCAGAUGUAUGUACUUAUUUAUUUUUUUUACAAGCUCUAACUUUAAUUCAAGACUGCUCAUGGAAUAACAAUAUGUUAUGUUUGACUGUCAAUUAAAUUGACAGCAGUGAUUUUUAUUAGACCCAGGACUUGUGAUCAUGAGAAUCGAUUUCAGUAGUGUAAAGGAAAAUUAAUUUUAUCUUACGAUAGUUUUUUUGAGUUUUGAUAAGUCUUUUAAAUAAUGUGCUCUUUGUGAGCAGUCUUUAAUUUAUUUUCUAUUAAUCCUUCUCAUUUCAUUUUGUCAUUAUCAAAUUUAUGAAGUUAGAAUUAGAGGCGAAUUUUAUUUAGUCUUCAGUGGAAAGAAACUUUUCUUGCAAGGCUUGUGCUAACUUAGAAAUACUGAAUUCCUGUCCAGCCAUUCAGCCUGAUUGUAAUCGGUGAAGUGAAAUCCGUGUUUUUUCGGUCAACAUGGACAUCUGUCACCUAGGUGAAGCCAGAUAACUACCCAGUUCAUGGAUUGUUCUUGUUUACCUAGAAAAAACAGAAACCUACCAUUUUAUUUUUGUGUUACAGCACUAUUUGGAAAAUCAGAUUUAAAAUCUUUACUUGAUUCACAAGUGAAUUCCGCUUUAUGUAUUAAAAAUGUUAAAGCUCAAGUUUUUAAAAACAUUGUACGUACAAGCUUCAGGGAAUUUAAACAACUUUUUUGUAUUCAAGGAAUAUUUGCGGUAAAUCCAUUCAAAUGUGAUACGUUUCUCUUGAGAAAAUAGGAAAAGCGAGAAUAGGUAAUCGUCGAAAAACGGUGAAAUUUGCAUUAUUUAUUCAAACGGUUUACCAAAGUUUUUGCAGAAUUUAUUUUGUCUCUAAUCAGCAAGAUACUUUCAAAAAUUUCAUGUAAAAAAUGGCUGGAUCAAAAGUACAUAAUUUUUUAAUCUUUCAAGUUUCACAAGGAAGUGUGCUUCUCUCAAUUUUUCAGGAUAUAUUCUCCUGGUGUCUUUUUUAGCCGUGUACCCAGUGUAUCUCAAAUUCUUGUACUUAUCUUUUCCUGAUGGAGCAUUUUUUUCACAGGCCUAAGUAGCUUUAAAGAGUAACAUCAUUUUAUACGUAAUUCCCUCCUAGGUUUUAUUUAGUUGGCAGUAAACUCUCUUUUUUUUUGCUCUUUUUGUCAAAAGUGAAUGAAAAAAAGAAAAAAGGAUGUACAUUAUUUGUUACUUCAUUUUUUAUGGUCGUGGCAUCAAUACACUAAUACAUCUUUCGCGCCAUCAAAUAGAAACAAAACUGGCUCUCUUCCUUCCUGUUGUUGCCAAAGCAGGAAGUAGAAUGUUACACCAAAUACAUUAACUUAUUUUUCCAAGUAUAUGUAGCUCAUCGUCAUUCUAAUGUAUCACAAUCGGUCUGUCGUAUGCAAGUGAUACAGCCAAUGUCUAGACAUUUUACAGUUAAUGUUGCACAAAAAUUACAUUAGACACAUCAUGAAAGUCUAUUAUCCAUUCCUUAGUGCACUCUACAUAGUUUGUAAUAUGCAUUUUAAAAUUUACUGAGUCCUCGGAAAGUUUUUUUUUAUUGUUGCUUGUGUGCAAAAAAGUUAAUAGUCAAUUUUUUUUUGUGCCAUCGUGAUUAUAAUGCAAUAUCCAAUAUGUACAUUAU
rnacentral:lncRNA from 1 species